ensembl:snoRNA SNORD89 small nucleolar RNA, C/D box 89
ACUGAGGAGUGAUGACACGAAAAGGCCGAAUUGCAGUGUGUCCCGCAGCAGUUGACUCUCUUUGUGGGCGCACGAUGACAGGACCUCCUGAAGCGAACCUCUGGUCUGACCUCAGU